UGUGACUUCCAGAUUCUUGCAAAGAAACGAGGCAUCAAGCCAGAAGCUCAUUAGUUAAUUUUACAGCAUCAUCGUCGGGAUUUUUGGUUUUUUUAAAGGACAAGACUGCGUGUUGUAUGUCUCAUUGUUUUAAGAGCUUUCUCUGACACUGAGGCUAAGCAUUGCCUGCCCUCAUGGGGAGUUUAAGUCAGAUGACUUUGAAACCAACAGAUAAAAGAAAACCCAGACAACAGAAUCUGUGUUGAACAAGGACACAGAUAACUACGGCAGGGAUACAAAAAUCUUCGAGGGUGACAACUGUCUGAAUUCCACUAAAGGUUCAGAUCUUUCUUCCUGCCUAGCAUUCAGUAUUUCCAAUAAUUUUGAACCAGCAGAGAUGCUAGUAACAUUUUCGUGGACGUCCUUGACUGAUUUUCAUUUGCCCCAGAAAUGUAACAUUCCA